CUGCUGGUCCUAUGUGUUGAGUAUUUUUGCCUGCUUGGACUUUGUAAAAGAUGGAGAUGAGGCCUUCGCAGAAGAUGAGGAGGACUUGUAUUGCCGUUUCAAGAAGAAUGCCCUCAACUAAAUAAGCCCACUCAGCCAUUCUGUCAGUUGAUCCAUAUCAUUCUCUAGUCGGCUAAUCUAUUUCAGCAGCUUGAUCAAACUAGCCACAACUAACUUUUUGACUUACGAUUCAGUUUCAAUCUAG
rnacentral:misc_RNA from 1 species